ACCUGGCUGGCUCAGUCAUAUAGAGCAUAUGACUCUUGAUCUCAUGGUCAUGAGUUCAAACCCCAUGUUGGGCA
rnacentral:tRNA from 1 species